UACGUAGGGGGCAAGCGUUGUCCGGAUUUAUUGGGCGUAAAGAGCGUGUAGGCGGCCAGACAGGUCAGCUGUGAAAACUCGAGGCUCAACCUCGAGACGUCGGUUGAAACCGUCUGGCUAGAGUCCGGAAGAGGAGAGUGGAAUUCCCGGUGAUAGCGGUGAAAUGCGCAGAUAUCGGGAAGAACACCCGUGGCGAAGGCGGCUCUCUGGGACGGUAC
rnacentral:rRNA from 1 species